rnacentral:rRNA from 1 species
UACGAAGGGGGGCUAGCGUUGUUCGGAAUUACUGGGCGUAAAGUGUGCGCAGGCGGCCAUGCAAGUCGAGUGUGAAAGCCCCGGGCUUAACUUGGGAAUUGCGCUCGAAACUACGUGGCUGGAGUGUGGCAGAGGAAGGUGGAAUUCCACGUGUAGCGGAUGAAAUGCGUAGAUAUGCGGAGGAACACCGAUGGCGAAGGCAAUCCCCUGGGCUG